AUUGAACGCUGGCGGCAUGCCUUACACAUGCAAGUCGAACGGCAGCACGGGGGCAACCCUGGUGGCGAGUGGCGAACGGGUGAGUAAUGCAUCGGAACGUGCCCAGUAGUGGGGGAUAACCCGGCGAAAGCCGGGCUAAUACCGCAUACGACCUACGGGUGAAAGCGGGGGACCGUAAGGCCUCGCGCGAUUGGAGCGGCCGAUAUCAGAUUAGCUAGUUGGUGAGGUAAAGGCUCACCAAGGCGACGAUCUGUAGCUGGUCUGAGAGGACGACCAGCCAAACUGGAACUGAGACACGGUCCAGACUCCUACGGGAGGCAGCAGUGGGGAAUUUUGGACAAUGGGCGCAAGCCUGAUCCAGCAAUGCCGCGUGCAGGAUGAAGGCCUUCGGGUUGUAAAGGACUUUUGUCAGGGAGGAAAUCCCUAGUGCUAAUAACACUAGGGGAUGACAGUACCUGAAGAAUAAGCACCGGCUAACUACGUGCCAGCCGCCGCAGUAAGAC
rnacentral:rRNA from 1 species